AACUAUUCAAACCAAAUUCAGUCGUUGUUUUGUUCGCUACAGCGGAGGUUAUCCAACACUGUAAAGAACUAUGGACGUGGACCACUUUACAUCAAGGUCUGCGAAUCGACUCAGCGCUAGUGGCUCAGACUAAUAUGAUCAGAAUGGGCGAGCUGCAACAGAUGAAAAAAAAAAA